GUGCUCUUUCCUGCUUCCGGCGGUUUUUUAGUGGCCACGGGUAUGGGGUGGAGCUUCCUUUAGGGGCGUGACUAGGCCUCCAACUAAGAGGCGUGGCCACACGCGCCCGCCUCGGGGCGGGGCCGGCGUUCUAGCGCAUCGCGGCCGGGUGCGUCACUCGCGAAGUGGAAUUUGCCCAGACAAGCAACAUGGCUCGGAAACGCGCGGCCGGCGGGGAGCCGCGGGGACGCGAACCUCGCAGCCAGAAAUCCAAGGCCAAGAGCAAGGCCCGGCGUGAGGAGGAGGAGGAGGAUGCCUUUGAAGAUGAGAAACCCCCAAAGAAGAGCCUUCUCUCCAAAGUUUCACAAGGAAAGAGGAAAAGAGGCUGCAGUCAUCCUGGGGGCUCAGCAGAUGGUCCAGCAAAAAAGAAAGUGGCCAAGGUGACUGUUAAAUCUGAAAACCUCAAGGUUAUAAAGGAUGAAGCCCUCAGCGAUGGGGAUGACCUCAGGGACUUUCCAAGUGACCUCAAGAAGGCACACCAUCCGAAGAGAGGGGCUACCGUGAAUGAAGACAGCAAUGAAGAAGAGGAAGAAAGUGAAAAUGAUUGGCAAGAGGUUGAAGAACUUAGUGAGCCUGUGCUGGGUGACGUGAGAGAAAGUACAGCCUUCUCUCGAUCUCUUCUGCCUGUGAAGCCAGUGGAGAUAGAGAUUGAAACGCCAGAGCAGGCGAAGACAAGAGAAAGAAGUGAAAAGAUAAAACUGGAGUUUGAGACACAUCUUCGGAGGGCGAUGAAACGUUUCAAUAAAGAGGUCCAUGAGGACACACACAAGGUUCACCUUCUCUGUCUGCUAGCAAAUGGCUUCUAUCGAAAUAACAUCUGCAGCCAGCCAGAUCUGCAUGCUAUUGGCCUGUCCAUCGUCCCAGCCCGCUUUACCAGAGUGCUGCCUCGAGAUGUGGACACCUACUACCUCUCAAACCUGGUGAAGUGGUUCAUUGGAACAUUUACAGUUAAUGCAGAGCUUUCAGCCAGUGAACAAGAUAACCUGCAGACUACAUUGGAAAGGAGAUUUGCUAUUUACUCUGCUCGAGAUGAUGAGGAAUUGGUCCAUAUAUUCUUACUGAUUCUCCGGGCUCUGCAGCUCUUGACCCGGCUGGUGUUGUCUCUACAGCCAAUUCCUCUGAAGUCAGCAACAGCAAAGGGAAAGAAACCUUCCAAGGAGAAAUUGACUGCGGAUCCGGGAGGCUCCUCAGAAACUUCCAGCCAAGUUCUAGAAAACCACACCAAACCAAAGACCAGCAAAGGAACCAAACAAGAGGAAACCUUUGCUAAGGGCACCUGCAAGCCAAGUGCCAAAGGGAAGAGGAACAAGGGAGGCAGAAAGAAACGGAGGAAGCCCUCCUCCAGUGAGGAAGAUGAGGGCCCAGGAGACAAGCAGGAGAAGGCAACCCAGCGACGUCCGCAUGGCCGGGAGCGGCGGGUGGCCUCCAGGGUGUCUUAUAAAGAGGAGAGUGGGAGUGAUGAGGCUGGCAGUGGCUCUGAUUUUGAGCUUUCCAGUGGAGAAGCCUCUGAUCCCUCUGAUGAGGAUUCCGAACCUGGCCCUCCAAAGCAGAGGAAGGCCCCCGCUCCUCAGAGGACAAAGGCUGGGUCCAAGAGUGCCUCCAGGACCCAACAUGGGAGCCAUCAUAAGGACCCAAGCUUGCCAGCGGCAUCCUCAAGCUCUUCAAGCAGUAAAAGAGGCAAGAAAAUGUCCAGCGAUGGUGAGAAGGCAGAAAAAAGAAGCAUAGCUGGUAUAGACCAGUGGCUAGAGGUGUUCUGUGAGCAGGAGGAAAAGUGGAUAUGUGUAGACUGUGUGCACGGCGUGGUGGGCCAGCCUCUGACCUGUUACAAGUACGCCACCAAGCCCAUGACCUAUGUGGUGGGCAUUGACAGUGACGGCUGGGUCCGAGAUGUCACACAGAGGUACGACCCAGCCUGGAUGACAGUGACCCGCAAGUGCCGGGUUGAUGCCGAGUGGUGGGCCGAGACCCUGAGACCAUACCAGAGCCCAUUUAUGGACAGGGAGAAGAAAGAAGACUUGGAGUUUCAGGCAAAACACAUGGACCAGCCUUUGCCCACUGCCAUUGGCUUAUAUAAGAACCACCCUCUGUAUGCCCUGAAGCGGCAUCUCCUGAAAUAUGAGGCCAUCUAUCCCGAGACAGCUGCCAUCCUUGGGUAUUGUCGUGGAGAAGCGGUCUACUCCAGGGAUUGUGUGCACACUCUGCAUUCCAGAGACACGUGGCUGAAGAAAGCAAGAGUGGUGAGGCUUGGAGAAGUACCCUACAAGAUGGUGAAAGGCUUUUCCAACCGUGCUCGGAAAGCCCGACUUGCUGAGCCCCAGCUGCGAGAAGAAAAUGACCUGGGCCUGUUUGGCUACUGGCAGACAGAGGAGUAUCAGCCCCCCGUGGCCGUGGACGGGAAGGUGCCCCGGAACGAGUUUGGGAAUGUGUACCUCUUCCUGCCCAGCAUGAUGCCUAUUGGCUGUGUCCAGCUGAACCUGCCCAAUCUACACCGCGUGGCCCGCAAGCUGGACAUCGACUGUGUCCAGGCCAUCACUGGCUUUGAUUUCCAUGGCGGCUACUCCCAUCCUGUGACUGAUGGAUACAUCGUCUGCGAGGAAUUCAAAGACGUGCUCCUGACUGCCUGGGAAAAUGAGCAGGCAAUCAUUGAAAAGAAGGAGAAGGAGGCCGCCUCUGUGUGCUCCCAGGCUCUUCCCAGCCCUCUGACAUCAUGGCAGGCACCUGAGGGAGCAAGCACUGAAUACAGCAGGCUCCUGCCCACCCCACAGACUCACUGUUACUGUCCCUGAGGACCCUGGGUCCGGGCUCUGGGGUCUGCUGCCCCUGCUGCCCACACCUGCCUCUGUCUUGAAUCGCCUGUGUCCAGAUUCUGGAAGACCUCACCCACUAAAGAUUUUGGAGUCAGUAACGAUUAAAAAGUUGUCUGUUUUUGUGGCUUUCAGGUAUAGUAUAUCACUUUGUAAAUCAGAUCAAUUUUUUGGAAGUGAGACUUGGUGUGAAGGACAGGCUAUAUCUUAAAAGUGGUGUAUACAUCUGUCUUUGUGUUCAGUUUCCAUCUUAAUAUUUUUCCUGAAAAUGUCAGUGCUUAACACUUUUCUCCCACUUCAUUUUUGCCUGCAGAAAAGGGAGAAGCGGGCUCUAGGGAACUGGAAGCUGCUGGCCAAAGGUCUGCUCAUCAGGGAGAGGCUGAAGCGUCGCUACGGGCCCAAGAGUGAGGCAGCAGCUCCCCACACAGAUGCAGGAGGUGGACUCUCUUCUGAUGAAGAGGAGGGGACCAGCUCUCAAGCAGAAGCGGCCAGGAUACUGGCUGCCUCCUGGCCUCAAAACCGAGAAGAUGAAGAAAAGCAGAAGCUGAAGGGUGGGCCCAAGAAGACCAAAAGGGAAAAGAAGGCAGCAGCUUCCCACCUGUUCCCAUUUGAGAAGCUGUGAGCUGAGCGCCUACUAGAGGGGCACCCACCACUUGCUGCUGCCCCGCUACAGGUCCCACAGCUGCCCCGGGCAUGCCCAGCCCCCGGUGAUGGGGGCUUCUCCGCUGAGAAGGCAAACUGAGGCCGCAUGCACUGAGGCGGGGUCAGGGGAGACGAGGCCAAGCUGAGGAGGUGCUGCAGGUCCCGUCUGGCCCCAGCCCUUGUCACAUUCACCCAGGGUGAAGCCUUCAAAGCUUUUUGCUACCAAAGCCCACUCACUCUUUGAGCUACAGAACACUUUGCCAGGAGAUACUCUCCUGCCUCCUAGACCUGUUCUUUCCAUCUUUAGAAACAUCAGUUUUUAUAUGGAGAUUUCUGGAUGGUGGUGCAUCCAUGAAUGCGCUGAUCGUUUCUUCCAGUUAGAGUCUUCAUCUGUCCGACAAGUUCACUCGCCUCGGUUGCGGACCUAGGACCCUUUCUCUGCAGGCCACUUACCUUCCCCGGAAUCAGGCUUACUAAUGCUGCCCUCGCUGCCUCUUUGCAGUAGGGGAGAGAGCAGAGAAGUACAGGUCAUCUGCUGGGAUCUAGUUUUCCAAGUAACAUUUUUUGGUGGCAGAAGCCUAAAAAAAGAGCUAAAAUCAGGAAAGGAAAGGAAAGGAAAAAUACGAAUUGAAAAUUAAGGAAAUGUUAGUAAAAUAGAUCAGUGUUAAACUAGAUUCUAUUCAUUACUAGAUAAAAUGUAUAAAGCUCUGUACUAAGGAGAAAUAACUUUUAUAACAUUUUGAGAAAAAAAUAAAGCAUUUAUCUAAA